rnacentral:rRNA from 1 species
AGUAUGGAGAGUUUGAUCCUGGCUCAGAACGAACGCUGGCGGCGUGCUUAACACAUGCAAGUCAGGGAGAAAGGGGCGUUUCGGCGCUUUGAGU